rnacentral:rRNA from 1 species
AAAUGAAGUUGACGGGGAGCACCACAACGGGUGGAGCUUGCGGUUUAAUUGGAUUCAACGCCGGAAAUCUUACCGGGACCGACAGCAAUAUGAAGGCCAGGCUGAAGACUUUGCCGAAUUAGCUGAGAGGUGGUGCAUGGCCGUCGUCAGUUCGUACUGUGAAGCAUCCUGUUAAGUCAGGCAACGAGCGAGACCCACGCCCACAGUUGCCAGCGUACUCUCUGGAGUGACGGGUACACUGUGGGGACCGCCGCUGCUAAAGCGGAGGAAGGAAUGGGCAACGGUAGGUCAGUAUGCCCCGAAUAUCCCGGGCUACACGCGAGCUACAAUGGUUGGUACAAUGGGUAUCUACCCCGAAAGGGGACGGGAAUCUCCUAAAACCAAUCUUAGUUCGGAUUGAGGGCUGCAACUCGCCCUCAUGAAGCUGGAAUCCGUAGUAAUCGCGUUUCAACAGAACGCGGUGAAUACGUCCCUGCUCCUU